rnacentral:rRNA from 1 species
GACGAACGCUGGCGGCGUGCUUAACACAUGCAAGUCGAACGAUGAUCAGGAGCUUGCUCCUGGGAUUAGUGGCGAACGGGUGAGUAACACGUGAGUAACCUGCCCCUGACUCUGGGAUAAGCGUUGGAAACGACGUCUAAUACUGGAUACGACUGCUGGCCGCAUGGUCUGGUGGUGGAAAGAUUUUUUGGUUGGGGAUGGACUCGCGGCCUAUCAGCUUGUUGGUGAGGUAAUGGCUCACCAAGGCGACGACGGGUAGCCGGCCUGAGAGGGUGACCGGCCACACUGGGACUGAGACACGGCCCAGACUCCUACGGGAGGCAGCAGUGGGGAAUAUUGCACAAUGGGCGAAAGCCUGAUGCAGCAACGCCGCGUGAGGGAUGACGGCCUUCGGGUUGUAAACCUCUUUUAGUAGGGAAGAAGCGAAAGUGACGGUACCUGCAGAAAAAGCACCGGCUAACUACGUGCCAGCCGCCGCCGUAA